CUGGCUGGGCACGCGCGAGCUCCACUCCCCGGGGAUGCAAAGGCGAGAGAGGCGUCGCGCGCGGUGUGGACGCUUUCUUUUUUGCAAGCGCCGUUGCGUGGGCUUUUGCAACCCGCUUCCUUCCUUCCUUCCUUCCCUUUGUUCCCCUCCGUGGCCAGUUUCUCCAGCCUGUAAUACUGGCUCCCCCAGCAGCUCACCGGGCGUGGUCCGUAUUCUCCCAAUAUGGCGGACGAAGACCUGAUAUUCCACAUGGAAUACCUGGACAACGGCACGCUACCCAAACCAGGUUGUGGGAAUUGCCACGAGGCGGACAGCGACGAGGAAGAGAGUUACUACAUCUGUCCGAUUACAGAUGAGCCCAUUUUGAACAAGAUAGCCGGCGACAAAGUUCAUAACUAUUACAGCAACCAGGUCAAAAAUGAGUCUUAUUCCUCCAGCUCCUCUCCCAGGAAUUCCUUCCAUGUUAGGGUAAGCAUGAAAGCA